rnacentral:rRNA from 1 species
UACGUAGGAUGCAAGCGUUAUCCGGAAUUAUUGGGCGUAAAGGGUCCGCAGGUGGCAGUGUAAGUCUGCUGUCAAAGAAUGAGGCUUAACCUUAUCAAGGCAGUGGAAACUACACAGCUAGAGUACGGUCGGGGUAGAAGGAAUUCCUGGUGUAGCGGUGAAAUGCGUAGAGAUCAGGAAGAACACCGGUGGCGAAAGCGUUCUGCUAGACCUGUACUGACACUGAGGGACGAAAGCUAGGGGAGCGAAUGGG